UCACCGGAUAAGACAGCUGGAUGAUAGCCGGGCUGAAGACUCUGCUUGACUAGCUGAGAGGAGGUGCAUGGCCGUCGUCAGUUCGUACUGUGAAGCAUCCUGUUAAGUCAGGCAACGAGCGAGACCCACGCCAACAGUUGCCAGCAUGUCUCCGGGAUGGUGGGGACACUGUUGGGACCGCCUCUGCUAAAGAGGAGGAAGGAAUGGGCAACGGUAGGUCAGCAUGCCCCGAAUUAUCCGGGCUACACGCGGGCUACAAUGGUCAGGACAAUGGGCAUCAACACCGAAAGGUGAAGGCAAUCUCUUAAACCUGUCCUUAGUUCGGAUUGUGGGCUGCAACUCGCCCACAUGAAGCUGGAAUCUGUAGUAAUCGCGUCUCAAAAUGGCGCGGUGAAUAUGUCCCUGCUCCUU
rnacentral:rRNA from 1 species